GACGAACGCUGGCGGCGUGCUUAAUACAUGCAAGUCGAACGGACAGGCCCUGCUUUUGUGGGGCGCUCGAGUGGCGAACGGGUGAGUGAAACGUGAGUAAAAUGCACUUGUCUUUGGGAUAAAUUCAGGAAAAUGGGGCUAUUACCGCGUAGGAGCUACUGAUGCAUGGGGGGGGAUGGAAAGAUUCGGCGGUUGGGGAUGGACUCGCGGCUUAUCAGCUAGAUGGUGGGGUAGUGGAUUACCAAGUCUUUGACGGGUAGCCGGCCUGAGAGGGUGACCGGCCACAUUGGUCCUGCGAUACGGCCCAGACUGCUACGGGAGGCAGCGGGCGGGAGCCUGGCGCAACAGGGCGAAGCCUGAGGCGGCAACGCCCCGUUCGGGAUGACGUCUUUCGGGUUGUAAACCGCUUUGUCCUUUGACGAAGCCUUAUUGACGGUAAUGAGUAAGGAAGCACCGGCUAACUACGUG
rnacentral:rRNA from 1 species